CCAGUAAGAGAAUUGUGCUGAAAUUUUACACAGAUACUUAGACGUAAUAAUAGAACAAUCUAUGAAAUUUUUAGAUUUUUGGUAAUGCUUUGAGAUGUCACCCAUACAUCCUUAAUUGUAAUCAACAUUUUGUUUGUUUUAGGAAACAAAUGUGAGAGCCACAAAGAAAUAACAAUAGAGAAAGAAAAGAAAAGGAGAAGCCGAGGAGGCGGCCAGGGAUAACAGAUAAGAUAAAUCUUAUUGUACACUCCUCUGUUGUGUGAUGUAAGUAAAAGGGCUCAGAUGGAAAAACCCGAGAGGAGGAUGAGGAAGCCUAGGAGAGGCAUCGGGCACUAGCGGACCAACUUUGCGAAGAUAAACACGGAAAAUGUCGCAUCGAGGGAAUCCAAAUUAACAACCCGAGAGGACAGCCUGAGAGGAGAAAGAGGCCUAGGAGAGGCAUCGGGCACCAGCGAAACAACAUUGUGGAGAUAACGAAGCAGAAAGUCGAGGGAAUCUAAACUAACAACCCGAGAGGACAGCCUGAGAGGAGGAGAAGGCCUGGGGACAGGCAUCGGUCACCAGCGGAACAACUUUGCGGCAAAUAUUAUUUUUACAUUCUACCUGACUUUGAUUAUUAUCUAUUGUAUCUCACCAACAAAAGAUUUUUCUUUACUUUUUAUUCUAACUCACAAUACAGUACAGAUAGGAAUUCCAUUCGCAACUGGUAAAAGUUGCCCAUAAAAGCAGUUGGUUUUUAAGGAACUUCUAUAAAGGUGUUUUUUUUUGUUUAUUAAUAGUAAAAUAUGUCAUGUAAAACGUAGAAUUGUACGAUAAAAAUAGAAAAUUAAAUAUUUUUUAACAAACCGCGAUUAAGGAAAGUAAUGUUGUUCUCUGAAAAUUGUUCGAGAUAGACGAUCGUGAUUAACAAGGCGUUAAAUAUUUAUAAUUUCAAUUCGAGGCUAAUACGAGCCUCGAGCACGAUAAACUGACGGAGUAAACAGUAAUUGUUUACUCAGUUCAUAUCAAUGAUCAAGAAAAAGAUUACUUCUUCACUCAAAGUUAUAAUUCAUAAAUAAUUUUAUAAUGCGGUAUUAUUGUUUAGUUUCUUAAAAGAAUGUAUUUCUGUUAAUAUACAAUACAAAUUGAAUGUUAGUCAAGAUAACUUUUACAAGCUAUUUCUUCAGCUCCAUUAGAUGAUAAUAUCUGAAUUGUCAUAUUAUAAUUAUGAUAUUUACUAUAGCUACGUCGAUUAAUUAGAAAAAUUCGGGUGUGACACGCAUCAGGAGAUCAAUUAGAUUAUAAUUAUGAGCAGUUAUU